rnacentral:rRNA from 1 species
CCUACGGGCGGCAGCAGUGGGGAAUAUUGCGCAAUGGGCGAAAGCCUGACGCAGCGACGCCGCGUGAGGGAUGAAGGUCUUCGGAUCGUAAACCUCUGUCAGCAGGGAAGAACGGUCACUGUGCUAAUCAGCAGUGAAUUGACGGUACCUGCAAAGGAAGCACCGGCUAACUCCGUGCCAGCAGCCGCGGUAAUACGGAGGGUGCGAGCGUUAAUCGGAUUUACUGGGCGUAAAGCGCUCGUAGGCGGUAUGUCCAGUCAAGGGUGCAAUCCCCGCGCUCAACGUGGGAACGGCCUUUGAAACUGGCAACCUGGAGUGUGUGAGAGGCUAGUGGAAUUCCUGGUGUAGCCGU